CAGCCUUGCUAAACGGCCGCGCCGUAUGUUGCCGAAAGGUAUUACGGUGAGGAAAGUCCGGGCUUUACAGGGCAAGGGUAGCUGAUAACGUCAGCCGCGGGUAACCGCCGGGAAAGUGCAACAGAAAUAAACCGCCGCGCAAGUGGUAAGGAUGGAAAGGCGAGGUAAGAGCUCACCCACUCCUAUGGUAACAUAGGUUUGCUGUAAACCCUACCCAAAGCAACACCGUUCGGGGCAUGUCUGCCCGACAGCCGCAAGGACCCGAUGGGUGGCACGGGCGCGAAAGCGUCCGGAGCUUUCUGGCGACAGAGAGCAAAGAUAGAUGGCCGUUCUCGACAGAACCCGGCUUACAGGCAAGACUGCAAA
rnacentral:RNase_P_RNA from 1 species